rnacentral:rRNA from 1 species
CGAAGUGGUUGAUGCCAUGCUUCCAAGAAAAGCUUCUAAGCUUCAGGUAACCAGGAACCGUACCCCAAACCGACACAGGUGGUUGGGUAGAGAAUACCAAGGCGCUUGAGAGAACUCGGGUGAAGGAACUAGGCAAAAUGGCACCGUAACUUCGGGAGAAGGUGCGCCGGUGAGGGUGAAGGACUUGCUCCGUAAGCUCAUGCCGGUCGAAGAUACCAGGCCGCUGCGACUGUUUAUUAAAAACACAGCACUCUGCAAACACGAAAGUGGACGUAUAGGGUGUGACGCCUGCCCGGUGCCGGAAGGUUAAUUGAUGGGGUUAGCUAACGCGAAGCUCUUGAUCGAAGCCCCGGUAAACGGCGGCCGUAACUAUAACGGUCCUAAGGUAGCGAAAUUCCUUGUCGGGUAAGUUCCGACCUGCACGAAUGGCGUAACGAUGGCGGCGCUGUCUCCACCCGAGACUCAGUGAAAUUGAAAUCGCUGUGAAGAUGCAGUGUAUCCGCGGCUAGACGGAAAGACCCCGUGAACCUUUACUAUAGCUUUGCACUGGACUUUGAAUUUGCUUGUGUAGGAUAGGUGGGAGGCUUUGAAGCGUGGACGCCAGUCUGCGUGGAGCCAACCUUGAAAUACCACCCUGGCAACUUUGAGGUUCUAACUCAGGUCCGUUAUCCGGAUCGAGGACAGUGUAUGGUGGGUAGUUUGACUGGGGCGGUCUCCUCCUAAAGAGUAACGGAGGAGUACGAAGGUGCGCUCAGACCGGUCGGAAAUCGGUCGUAGAGUAUAAAGGCAAAAGCGCGCUUGACUGCGAGACAGACACGUCGAGCAGGUACGAAAGUAGGUCUUAGUGAUCCGGUGGUUCUGUAUGGAAGGGCCAUCGCUCAACGGAUAAAAGGUACUCCGGGGAUAACAGGCUGAUACCGCCCAAGAGUUCAUAUCGACGGCGGUGUUUGGCACCUCGAUGUCGGCUCAUCACAUCCUGGGGCUGAAGCCGGUCCCCAGGGUAUGGCUGUUCGCCAUUUAACGUGGUACGCGAGCUGGGUUUAGAACGUCGUGAGACAGUUCGGUCCCUAUCUGCCGUGGACGUUUGAGAUUUGAGAGGGGCUGCUCCUAGUACGAGAGGACCGGAGUGGACGAACCUCUGGUGUUCCGGUUGUCACGCCAGUGGCAUUGCCGGGUAGCUAUGUUCGGAAUAGAUAACCGCUGAAAGCAUCUAAGCGGGAAACUAGCCUCAAGAUGAGAUCUCACUGGGACCUUGAGUCCCCUGAAGGGCCGUCGAAGACUACGACGUUGAUAGGUUGGGUGUGUAAGCGCUGUGAGGCGUUGAGCUAACCAAUACUAAUUGCCCGUGAGGCUUGACCAUAUAACACCCAAGCAAUU